AAUACAGCUGUCAGAUAGAACGUCUGCUACAAUGAAGAUCGACAAUGUAACGCAUUAGCACAUUUAAAUGAUAUCUUCACAGAAGAAUUGAAUACCAUAUGGAAAGCUGACAUCAAGCAGCAAUUAGAACGACAAGACAAAACAUGAUGGACCACUAUUAAGUAAAUGAGUACAACAUAUAUUAAUAUGUGAAGAGACUUUUAGCACCAACCUGAACAACAAAACAAACAUGAAUUAUAUAUGUAGAUUUUGAAAUUUAACAAAGACCAAGAUGUGAAGAGACUUUUAGCACCAACCUGAACAACAAAACAAACAUGAAUUAUAUAUGUAGAUUUUGAAAUUUAACAAAGACCAAGAUGUGAAGAGACUUUUAGCACCAACCUGAACAACAAAACAAACAUGAAUUAUAUAUGUAGAUUUUGAAAUUUAACAAAGACCAAGAUGUGAAGAGACUUUUAGCACCAACCUGAACAACAAAACAAACAUGAAUUAUAUAUGUAGAUUUUGAAAUUUAACAAAGACCAAGAUGUGAAGAGACUUUUAGCACCAACCUGAACAACAAAACAAACAUGAAUUAUAUAUGUAGAUUUUGAAAUUUAACAAAGACCAAGAUGUGAAGAGACUUUUAGCACCAACCUGAACAACAAAACAAACAUGAAUUAUAUAUGUAGAUUUUGAAAUUUAACAAAGACCAAGUUGACUUCCGACACCAAAAGGAUGAAUGUAGGCCAAGGUACACCUAUCAAGCAGAGAGAAUGUGAUAGAGAUAUUUGUUUAGUGUGUGGAAAAUUUGCAAAGGAGGCCCGUAGAGUAGAAACCAUCCGAAAGUUAAAAGGGAAAGAUUAUUGUUUAAAAGAUUUAUUGAAGAAAUAUGGUGGAAUUAAUGUUGAAAGUGGGACAGUAUGUAGAAAAUGCAGUAAAAAAGUUGACACUCUUCACAAAAAGAAUACUGAUUUCUACAAUGAAUGCCAAAAAAAUGCUGGAAUGUCGAAACGAAUGGCUUCGUCACCACAUAUUAAUCCACCAAAAAGAAUAAAUAUGUCAACACCCA